UGAAUAUUUCUUGGAUGAGCUUUGAAGAAAAAUAAUUCGGCAGACCAGAAACUAACAGAAAGAGCAUAAAGAGAGGAGGGGCAGAAAUUAUGCUGUCUUG